rnacentral:lncRNA from 1 species
CUUGAAAUGACCUGAAAUGACCUUUUUUUUUCUACGGCAAUAGUGAGAUGGCUUUGUCCAUAUUAGGGAUUUCCUUUUGGCUCAUUUCCUCAGAAAUAGAACAAAAUGUUUUGCAAACUAAAAUUUCCCCUGCUAUUCUCACUGAUCAUAGAGUUUUAACUUUAAACAUUAAAUCUGAAGAUGUCCGAUGUAAUUGUAGAAAUUUAGGCUAUUGGAAAUUAAAUAAUUAUUUUUUGCACCAUCAAGAUUAUGUGGAGCAUAUCCAAACAUUAAUAAAUAAAUACUGGACACAGGCAAAUAUUAGAAAGGAAUAUGGCACAGUUUGGGAACUACUAAAGUUUGGAAUAAGAAAAUUUAGCAUUCAAUUUGAAAAAAAAAAAAAAAUGGCCAUGAAAAAAAGAACACGUAUUCAAGACAUAAUCAAAGAGAUUUCAAAUUUAACUCAGUUACCUAACCACCCAUCCAAUAGUGAUGAUUUAGAACAUUUACAGAAAGAAUUAAACUGUAUUUAUCAAGAAAAAGCCAGAGGUGCCUUUGUAAAAUCUAGAAGGAAAUGGAUGGAAGAAGGUGAAAGAAACAGCAAAUACUUUUUUAGUCUUGAGAAAAGGAAUGCAGAAAUAAACUUAAUUAGAAAAUUGAAAAUUAACAGUACUGUUACUGAGGACCUAGGCAUGAUUUCUGAAUUUGUCUCUAAAUAUCAUGCAAAUAUUUAUUCUUUAGGAGAGGAUCAAGACAAUGUAAUUGUUUUUAAAACAAGUCCAAAAACGUUGUCUUUAGAAAGUAAUACAGAUUGUUCUCAAGACCUUUCUCUAAAUGAAAUUGAAUUCUGUAUAAAAGCUCUUAAAAACAACAAAUCCCCUGGAAAUGAUGGGCUUACAUCAGAAUUUUAUAAAGUUUUUAUAAAUGAUAUAUCUAAAUUCCUGUUAGCGGUAUAUGAAGAGGCCAUCAACAAAGAAUCCUUACCUACAUCACUUAAACAAGGUGUUAUCACCUUGAUCCCUA